GCUGAAGUGAAUGCAGAGAGAGAGGAGGGGAAAGCAGAGCACAAGCGAAAGAAGGUUAGCCAGCAGCGAGUGAAGAAAAUGGCGAUCACGCAGGAUGAAUGCCUCCCCUCGUAGAUGCUGCAAACGCGUUGAAUUUCUUUAGCCUUACAGUCGGCUUUCCUUUCCACUCUGUUGCACUUUAUACUUCAAUGAGAGAUUAGGAAUUGGAAGCUGUUGCCACCAAAGAAACUGAAGCAUCUUAACAGGGAACACACCCACAGAGGGAAGAACAGUGGAUGGAAGAGAGAGAGAGACGGAGAGUGUGACAAGGAAGGAGGAUAAGAAGAUACGGGACUGGACAAAAGGUGGUUAAGCAGCUUCUGGCAGGCAGUAUGUCUAGAUGCU
ensembl:lncRNA